AACAAUCACGUUAGAGGAUGUUCACUUUAUUUUUGGGUUACCGGUGGUGGGAAAGCCCUUAACGGAUCCCCUUACUGUCACCAAUUUGAAUUAUUUUAGGGAUUGUUUUGGAGAUAAAUUAGCUGGUGAAUAUUUUAGUUUAAAAAAACGCAGUGCAAUUUCAUUAGUGUGGUUCCACGAACAUUUUAAUAAAUGUCCCGAGAAUACAAGUAAAGAUGUUGUAGAGUGACACACAAAGGCAUA
rnacentral:lncRNA from 1 species